GAGAUUUGAGUUGUAUUAGUGAACUUCAAUAUAAUGAGGUUUAAUAUACAGAGGCCCUGAAGAUGCUUUAUUAGCUAAAAAGGAAGAAGGAAGGAUUUAAAAACGACAAAGCAGUGUUCAGAAAGGUCUGCAAAAACCAACAAGUUGGAACCUCCACUGUGGUUAAAGGAGACUUCUGGGCUUAAGGUAUUCCUCCUUAGUGUUUUAUCUGUAAAA